CUCAUUUGAAAUUCAGAAACGAUGACGAUGAUUCUUAGCGGUUUGGUGACGCUUUU
ensembl:ncRNA T25B6.8 ncRNA